ensembl:lncRNA
AUGGAGGCUCCACACAGCACAGAAACUGACGGGGGCCAAGGUUUGCCUAUGGAGGUCUUGGCUUCCUGUCUGCCCCUCUUGCGUAAAUUUCAGGAGCUCUUUAAGAGGGAACAAAAGGAGGACUGGGCAGUCGGUGUUGAUUGCCUAAAUCGAGCAGUCUUCAGAACAUCCACACACUCACCAAGCAGUUGAAGUUGGUGGAAUGGACCUUCUUGCUGCUCACUGCCUGGAAGAAUGUCCUCAUCGACUCCAAACCUGCUUGACAGACCAAAGCCCAGGCCAAGCCAAGGCUGCUGGUGACCUCUGCCCCAGAAGUAAUCAAUUUAGAUUUAAAGUAAUUAUUGAUAGGUAAGGACUUUGUUUUGCCAUUUUGUUAAUUGUCUUAUGAUGGCUUUAUAUUUCCCUUUUUCUUUUCUUCCUCUCUUGUGGUCUUCCUUUGUUUGCUUUUUGGAGUGGUAUGCUUUGAUUCCUUUCUCUUUAUCUUUUGUGUAUCUACUAGAAGUGUUUUCCUUGUGGUUAGUAUUAGGAUUACAUAAAAUGUCUUAUAGUCUGUUUUAAGCUGUUAAAAACUUUACUUCAUUUGCAUACAAAAACUCUAUACUUUUACUCCUGCCUCACAUUUUAUGUUACUGAUGUCACAGUUUAUAUACUUUUAUAAUGUAUGUUCAUUAUCAAAUUAUUGUAGCUCUAGUUAUUUUUAAUAACUUUGUCUUUUAACUGUUAUACUAGAAUUAAAAGUCAUUUAAACACCACCAUUACAGUAUUAGAGUAUUCUGAUUUGACUUCGUACUUACCCUUACCAUUGAGUUGUACAUUUAUAUGUUUUCAUAUUAUUAAUUAGCAUCCUUGCAUUUCAGCUGAAGGAAUUUCCCCUUAGCAUUUCUUGUAAAGUAGGUCUAGUGGUGAAAAACUCCCUCAAUUUUUGUUUUUCUUAGAAAGUUUUUAUCUCUCCAUUUCUGAAGGACAUCUUUGCUAGGUAUACUAUUCUUGUUUGGCAGGGUUUUUUUUUUCUUUCCGCACUUUGAAUGUAUCAUCUCACUCUUCCCUGGCCUGUAAGGUUUCUGCUGAGAUAUCCACUGAUAGCCUAAUGGGGUUUCUUUUGUAUGUGAUGAGUUGCUUUUCCUUUAUUGCUUUUAAAUUUCUUUUUCACUUUGAGUUUUGAGAACUUGAUUAUUAUGUGUCUCAGUUUAAUCUUCUUUGGGUUGAUCCUAUUUGAUUAUUUGAGCUUCAUGCAUCUGGAUGUCCAUGUUCCUCCCAUAAUUUGGGAAGUUUUCUGCCAUUAUUUCUUUAAAUAAACCUUCUGCUCUUUUCUCUCUUCUUUUGUGAGUCCCAUAUAUUAAUAUAUUAAUUCAUUUGAUAGUGCCCUAUAAAACCAAUAGAUUUCCUUCACUCUUCUUCGUUCUUUUUUCCCUAGAUUGGAUAAUUUCAAAUGAUCUAAGUUCACAAAUUCUUUCUUCCAUUUGACAAGUCUGCUGUUGAAGCUCUAUUGCAUCUUUCAUUUCUUUCAUCAUAUUCUUCAGCUCCAGAAUUUGUUUGGUUCUUUUUUAAUGAUUUCACUUUCUUUGUUGAAAUUCUUUUGUUCAUGAAUUGUUUUCCAUAUUUAAUUGCAUUGCCUAUUUUCUUAUAGCUUUUGACCUUCCUUAAAACAAUUAUUUUGAAUUAUUUGUUAGGCUAUCUAUUAUCUCCAUUUUGGGGGGUUGAUUACUGGGAAAUUAUCAUACUCCUUUAGUAGUUUUAUGUUUCCUUAAUUUUUCAUAUUCCUUGAAUUCUUGCACUGCCAUCUUUGCAUUUAAAGUAGUCACCUCUUCUGGUCUUUACUGAUUGGCUCUGAGAGAGAAAUACCUUUACCAGUCAGCCUAGCUAGGCACUCUGGGGGGUCUCUCAGACCUUUCCUAUGGAUAUACCCACUCCACUCCUCUUGUUCCUUCUUGGGGGGUAGUUUUAGGAUUGUAGGCAUUUUCUCAAUCCUACAAAGCCAGACCAUGCUCUGAGAGCCUCCCACUUAUUUUCUCUAGGCAGUGCCCUGAACCAUUCAAGGUUUUGUGCCUUCUCCCAACCCAGCAGAGUUGAGCUACCUGUAUGUGCUUGUGCACAAUCUAUAGAGGCUUGCAUGUGUAUUUUGUGGGAGUAUGGGGGAGGGGGGUCAUCAGCUCCAAAGGGGUGAGGGAUGCAUGGAGAUCUAGGGGUCACUUGUGGAAUAAUUGGGAGAGACUGCAGGUGAUGUAUCAUAAAAGGUUUGCAAGUGGGCCUCUUGGCAGAUAAUGCGAGAUGAGUAGUAGAGUCCAUGACUCUUUGUUGACUUCAACCCUCCAGUUAUUCUGAGUCCCCACCCCUUUUCCCUGCUCCUUGCUGCCCCCUGACUACUCAGCUGUGCCAAUGUCCUAAGUGUUAUGGGUAGGAUGAGAAUGGAGUAGCUAAGGAAAUCAGAUACUCACCUUCCCCCAAGGGAGAAAUCACAGGCUGAGGGGAUUUCUCUUGGGACUUAGCUGUGCUGCCUUUACGGGGGUUACACAGGUAAACUGGAACUGUUCUUGUUAUCCUCUUCAAUGAGUCUAUUCUCAGAUUUUUUUAGCUCCAAUGAGGUGCUAGAACCUCUCUGUGGAUUUCUGUACAUCCGCAAAGUAUUCUCAUCCAUGGGUGGUUGUCAAAAUCUGUUUCUUUGUGGGGGAUGAGGGCUAAAAUUCCUCUUCCACCAUGUUGCUGACAUUACUUUCCUGAGGAUUUAAAACCGGGUUUGCCUCAAUCAAACAUCGUGUACUUUGCACUCUACAACAAUACCUUAUGUGAUAAUUAUAUACACUUAGAAUGUGUAAAAUUAAACAUGCAUUUUCAUUUUAUCAGAUCUAUCAAUAGCUUUCAGCACAAUUGACCCUUCCUUCCUUGAAGUUCUUUUCUACCUUGGCUUCCAUUAAGCUGUAUUUUCCUGGUUUCCCUCCUAUUUAUGUGGCUACUUCCCAGUCUCUUUUUCUAGGUCCUUCUCUUCAACAUGGCCCUUCAGUGUUGGAUAUUCAGGACUCUUCCCAGGCCCUUUGCUUUUCAAUUCUACACACUUUACCUAGAAAAUGUUUGUUAUCCAUUCUUAUGACAAACCACCAUCAAUAUGCUGAUGACUCCCACAUCUGUAUCUCCAGCAUCCACCAUUUUUCAAACUCAAGACUGUAUCCAACUGCAUACUCUGUAUCUGCAUAUAUCUUAAUUACUUCAAGUUCAAUAUGCUCAAAAUUGAACUAAUCAUCUUUUUUCCCCCUCAAAACUGCUCAUCUUCUAGGGGGUCUCAGACUCAAAUAUGCUAAUAGUGUCCACUCAACUACUCAAGCCAUAAGCUUAUGAAUCAAUCUUAUCUUCUCCUUCAACCCAUAUAUACAGUGAAUCAAAAUGUCCUGUUGAUUCUACUUUCUUAAAAACUCUUUAACUGAUUAGCUUUUCUACAUCUCUACAACCAUAACUUACUGACCACAAAGCUAUUAACAAUGCCUGAUUAUAGUGUUUUAGUAGCUUCUUAGCUAAUUUCCUCAUAAAAUCUUUUCUUUAGUGAUGCCUGGGUGGCUCAGUCAGUUAAGCGUCUGCCUUCAGCUCAGGUCAUGAUCCCAGGGUCCUGGGAUCAACCACUGCAUCAGGCUCCCUGCUCAGCAGGGAGCCUACUUCUCCCUCUCCCUUUGCUGCUCCUCCUGUUUCUGUGUGCUCUCUCUCUCUCUCAAAUAAAUAAAAUCUUAUAAAAAAAUCUUUUGUUUCCACUCCAAUAUUUUCUCCACAUAGCAAAGAGUAAAAAAAUU